CCUACGGGGGGCAGCAGUGAGGAAUAUUGGUCAAUGGUCGGGAGACUGAACCAGCCAAGCCGCGUGAGGGAUGAAGGUACAGAGUAUCGUAAACCUCUUUUGUCAGGGAACAAAGGCGGGGACGUGUCCCCGGAUGAGUGUACCUGAAGAAAAAGCAUCGGCUAACUCCGUGCCAGCAGCCGCGGUAAUACGGAGGAUGCGAGCGUUAUCCGGAUUUAUUGGGUUUAAAGGGUGCGCAGUCGGUCUGUUAAGUCAGCGGUAAAAGCCCGGGGCUCAACCCCGCACCGCCGUUGAAACUGGCAGUCUCGAGUUGGAGAGAAGUAUGCGGAAUGCGCGGUGUAGCGGUGAAAUGCAUAGAUAUCGCGAAGAACUCCGAUUGCGAAGGCAGCAUGCCGGCUUCACACUGACGCUGAGGCACGAAAGCGUGGGUAUCGAACAGGAUUAGAUACCCUGGUAGUC
rnacentral:rRNA from 1 species